UAUAUAUUCAAUUGCAUGCCCAUAUAUGUAUAGAUGUAUAAAUAAUGUUUAAAGGACUUAGGAAGGCCAUCCGCCCUAUUUCCUUUUCGCGCCUUGAGAUGUGGUCUGGUGGGAUUUUGGGUGACCAUCCGAAGGUCGUUUCAAUAUUACUUAUAUAUCAUAUAUACAUAUAUAGACAUAAAAGUACUUCCAUAUUCAUACUCACCAGUACCUCAUUAGUUAGUUACCGUCUGGGUAACACAGGAUCGUACAUAUACAGAUAUACUAGAAACAGUACAUAUACAGAUAUACUAGAAACAAUACAUAUACAGAUAUACUAGAAACAAUACAUAUACAGAUAUACUAGAAACAAGUACAUAUACAGUCAUACUAGAACGAGAAACAAUACAUAUACACAAAUACGUAAUAAUUGUGAUCCACUGUGUCGGAGCAUGCCUUAAAUGUCAUGACCCGAGUUGUAGCCAGAAUUCUCUUGGAGGGGGAGCGUGAGUUUGCGUAUAGAUCUAUACUGGAUUGACUAUCCUACACCUUGCUGCUAGCUACAGCCGGACCUGCAGGUCUGCGGGUGCCAAACGUCAUUUCUUUUAUUACGACCAUUCAUUAUGUCGUUGUUACCAGUCGAUAGCANGAAAGAGGUAUGCCCUAUAUAUAUAUUAAACAUAUAGUUGUGUUACAUCCGAGUUUAGGCAAUAAAUUUUGACCUUUCUAAAGGUCUCUGAUUACAGAAAGUUUUAAAGAAAGUUAUAUUCUUAUCCGAAGUCCUAAUUUAUAGCAAAAUUGAAAUUUUGGCAAGCACUACUUGCGACGUAGGUUGCGCUUGGAGCUUGACUCCAAAUCCGAUUGCUUCGAUUCCAUUAGAUGCCUAUCAAAAGCGGCUUGUUGUUCCCUUAAUUCGGCUAGGGAUGCAAUCAUUUGUGCUUGGAAUGCCUUAGUUUGGAAGUGGGCAUGGUCCUGAAUCUCAUCCAGCCUACAGAUGUCAGAAGUGUGAACCUGUACUUCUACGUUGAUCUCGCGGAUCCGGUUGGCUUGAACUCCGGAUUGAUAGCACUAGUUGGCUAGUUUUCCAACCAUGACUGGAAGUGCUCGGUCUGCCGAUCCCCUGUCUCUGACAUCAUAAAAGUCUCGGCACAUGCCGUAGGGAGGGCGUAAGCUUUGUUGUUGGCUCCAAUGGUGGAGGUGACUCCCCCACACAGGAGUGGGGCCGGUGGAUUGAUAACCUCUGGCUCUGAAUCUGUACCAGAGUCAUCUCCUUCAUCCAACUCUAUAGGUUCUUCGUCUUCUUCGGGAUCUUCUUCGAUCCAUCCUCCAUUACCUUGGUUGGGGUAGUAGGGGUCAUUGGGGUGGUGGAAUCCAGCCAUUGAGUCUGUACGAGAAUAGGGUUAAGAAUUUACUAUAAGAUAGAGUACAUGAAAUUUACCCUUAAGUUUAAUGGUUGUUGUUACUCAAAUACUCCCUUAGAAUUAUUUAACGAUAUGUUUUUGGUAUGUUUUAAAUUUGUUGUCCACUGCAGACACUCCUCGGCACACGUUAGUCGGCUCUCGGACAAAUAUAGUUGAUCAGGCUAUAUUCUUCCCAGUUCCGAUUACCUGUCCUAAGGCGUACCUGCACUGCACAACUUAUUUAUAAUACUUCUAAAAUGGUCCGAUGUGAAACUGUCAUUAGUAUGAAAUGAGUGCAUGCUUACUUUACAAAAACUAAAUAAAUUUAAUUUCAAAAGUAUGAAUCUUCUCAGAGUGUUUUUGCCCAGUUGAGUUUAUAUUUGUAUACCAGAAAUGGUUUUGAUAUACUUAAUUCACUAUAAACGAUGCUCUGAUACCAAUCUGUCACACCCCCAAACCAGAACGGUGGAAAGGUUCGGGGGCGGAGGACGUCAUAUUCAGUAUCAUAACAGUUCAUAGAAAGGAAAGUACACACCACCAUACAUAUAUAAAGGUUUUAAAAAUGUUUACAUCAUUGUAUUCAUUACAUGCUCAAAAGAUAAAUGCAUAAACAUCUUUCAAAAGAAGUAAUUAACGCCAGCGCGUUAAUCCCCAAAAGUUGAUUUCCAAACCUGCUUAGCGGUUCCCUGAGAAUACAAGUUAUUUCAAAGAGAAAGUGUCAACAAUUAAGUUGGUGAGUUCAUAAGUGGUUUAGAAAGUUUGUAUGCCAUUCCAAAUUGAGUGUAUGUUUUCCAAGAAAAUCCCUUAUUUUCUUAUAAAAGUGUGAAAUGCAUGAGAAUAUAUGUAUUGAAUAAUAUAGAUAGUUGAAUCAAGAAAAUCCCUUAUUUUCCUAUUAGUUGUUUGUUUUGUAUACAGGGAAAAUCCCAUAUUUUCCUAAAGUAAUAGUUAGCCUAAUGUCCCAGACUAAAAACCGAAAGCAAAAGACAUGCUUUAGAAGGUUGAAGCAUAGAUUUAUAUAAUAAAACCUAUUAGAAGAUUUCAGUUUGUUAGAUGAAGAAUAGUUUUAAUAACUACUCAUUCAUCAAUCAGAAGUACUAUAAUAAUUGUAUAUCCGAUGAGUUUUAUAACCAUACUAAACAUAAUAUGCCUGUAGCGACGUUCUUCAGGCGUCGUAGCGUUAUGACAAACUGUCACCCCAAAGGACGGACUGUAGCUAACAGUCAGGGCGCGGGAUCAUGACUUCCCGUAUAGAUCUAUACACAUUUGACACGUUCUCCGAACGGGAGACUCUGGUUAUAGACAGGACUUGUAGCGAUACCUUCUAGCAAAAAGGCAGUAUUUGAAGAUGUACAUGUCUCACGGAUUCUCAACUAAGUCUGUAUUAAAGUAAUAGUUUUGUAUGCAAAGAUCAUCCUUUUUCACAAAGUUUUGACAAUGCAUAAAUCAUAAGUUUUUAAAAUGUAUCAAAACGGUUUAGCAAUGAAGGAUACUUUAGAAUUACUAAAUACUUUGUAUAAAUCUAGUGCAUGCAAAGUAUGACAAGAGUUUUCACAUAGUAGUAGUGAAUCACAAGUGACUCAUUUGAUAAAAACGAGUAUAGUGAAAGUUUAUGAAAUACACAAUAAUAACUGUAUGUUUACUUGUAUUCCCCCCCUAAAAGAGUAUAAAAAGCAUUUAAAACGUAUCUAUAGUGUGUUUGUAGGGGUAUGAACUCACCUGAAGGUUUAAAGAAAGCGAGAAGGAAACCGGGUAGAAUUUCGUCUCGGGAAACAGAUUUUUCUCGGGAUUCUCGGGAAUCUCAGGAGUAAAAACGAUCUUCGGGACUUGGGCAAAAUGACCAGGGCUUCGGGUUAGCACGGGCACGGAAAACGAGGCAAAACGCAAGAGAAACGAGAGGAAAUGAGCAAGUUUUCCCGGAACCCUCGCAUCCCUUUUAUAGGGGCUGAGAGGCCUCGGUACGCGGGGCGUACCCGUGCGUCAUGCAUCACCGAGUCCUCGACUGCCCCGGAGUGCGGAUGGGACGGGGCGUAGCUCGCAUAAGGGGCAACGUGGAUGAACCGGGGCCUUGGAUUUGAGUACGCGGGGCGUACGAAGGUACGCAGGACGUACUUCGGCCCUAUCUACUGACUCUUCUUCGGAUAUUACCAAGAGUUUAUAAUUAAAUUUAUAUUUAUUUUAAUUAGUAAACUUCUAAAAUUCAUAUCUUCUUCAUACGAAUUCCGUUGUCGAUGGUCUUUAUAUCCACGCGUAGCUGAGACUACGCUCUACAACUUUCGUUUAGAUUCCGUCGGCAAAUUUUGAAAUUAUUUUUAUUAUUUAUUUUUAAAAGGUCGUGUUUAAGGAAUUUCUUCUAAAAUUCAUAACUUCUUUAUCUGGCGUCGGUUUUUGCCAGACUUUUUACCGCUGAAUUACCAUUGUCGAGACCUUCGAUUUUCGUUUAGGUCAUUCCGGCCAAAAGUCGCUCGAUCUCCGAUUCGAGUAUUUAGCUGCCUGCUGCUUAGCCGAACUUGGAAAAAUCAUAACUUCAAUAUACGAAGUCGGAUUUGGGCGUUCUUUUUACGUACGAUCAUGGUUUAAAGACAUCUAUCACAAUAGGUAAUUAAAUAGAAACUUUUUGGAUGUUUUAUUUUCAAAGUUAAUUUCAUUGUCACAAAAGCGGUUAUAAUAAUUGACUUUUGCAAGCCGUAGUGCUAUCAACGCAAGCAAUGCUUGCGAAGGGGUUCAAAAUCCCGAUAGUAGUAUCAAUCCAGAAAGUCGUCAAACGAUAACAGUCGUAGGCUCGCAAAACCGAAAAACAGAGAACAAGAAACAAAAGCGCCGAGCCCAGAAAGAACGCAAGUGAUCCCAAAAACUUGCCAUGCAACAACAAAAAGUGGAAACCCCUGCCAUCCCAGUACCGAGCAGAGCAUACGAGGGAAAACUUCAAAAGUGUGAUAAUUGUAGUUUUCAUCAUCAUGGCGCUUUCCAUGAGAUGCAAUGUUGCAAUCACCUAAAAAUAGGGCACCAUGCUCAUAGCAAUGGAGCACCGGCAUGACCCAUCACUCAAGCGCCUGAUCACAUCAUAGUCAACCAGGCCUACGAUGGUGGUGUUAAAACUAGACCCUAUGAAAGGAAAGUUUCAAAGUGGAUGAAUAAGGAGAACACUCGUAUCCAUGUAACUCUAACUCGACACAUCACUUCCACCACCAAUCUUGGUGUUAUCCAGAUAUGUAACCAAUGCGGUGAAAUUGGGCACCUUGAGAAGGAUUGCCCGAUAACGAAGAACUCUGGCGCAGACGGGAAAAUACUAAGGAUCACUGCCACAGGAGAGACUACUCCGGACCCACGUUAAUGUAAUUAACGUGUUUCGUUGUCAUAGACUUAUAAACCAUCCAAAACUAGUGCAACUAGAGUCUUAUCUUUUGCGAGAUCCCGUCAGUAAAGGGAUGCUCGUGCUGCGUGUACUUGUGUUUUGUAGUAUACCUUGUUCGCAGCAAUAGUCUUGUAGAAAGUCUAAAGUACUGUAACUCUGUUAAAGAUUGCACUGUUGGUUUUGUCUGUAACGCUUUUAUGAUCAAGUCUAAUGUCUUUAUUUUCCAAGUGAGUCCGAUAUUACCAUUCGACUAGAUUCAAUUUGAUCCGCUCAAUACCAGCUUCAUACGUACAUCACUUUCUCCGUAAACGUAUUUUUAACGAAGCCGUGAUUUCGGAACUCGGAAGCACUCCUGCUUAGAGUACCUCAUGUUUCUUCUCCUUUCCGAAGAAAUCCCCGAAGUACCACUCGUACAGUACGUCAAGAUCAAUACGGUUGAUCUAUCGCUGAAGGAUGUAUACAUAGGGGUGGUAUAUACUCAAGAUUCUAUAGGUUUAGAAUUGAUGAUUCCACUUUAACUUCUUUUCCUUGUUGGGAUGUGAGCUUAAAGAAGAAUCAGUUAUUCGACUACCUUAUCAAUCUUAACUAUAUACGACUCGUAUACACGAGGUUGUGAUUGAUGAACCAUGUAUGACUUCUAAUAUGAACUCCAAGAUGGAGACUGCCCAAGACUACGAGUGAUCACAUUGUCAUGAGAACAAACUUAGAACCCAGUACGAAUCCAGCAACCAGAUCGCCCUACAGUCUAAACAUACACAGAAAUACAAGAACAAUUUGGACAACUUAGGGAUUGCAUCAUAUGUACCUCGACUAUGGGGGCUCGGUCAAAAUUUCCAUUAGAAAUCGUUAUCUCUGCCUCGCAUAGAUGAUUUGGCUAAGCAAACGCAAGGAAUGAAUUACCCAUCAGAAAUGGAUCUGAGAUCCAAUUAUCACCAAUUUCGAGUGUUACAGAAAGAUGUCCCGAAGACUAUCUUCCGAAAUCGAUGCGGACACUUCGAGUCCGUAGUGAUACCCCUCGGAUAGGACCAAUACGCCCAUAGUACUCAUGAGCUUAAUGAAUAGGGUGCGUCAUUCUUAAUUGGAUCAGUUCGUCAUUCUCUUUGUAAAUGAUUUACUUAUCUACUCUCGUAGUAAGAAGGAAAUCAUAAAGAGCAUCUACAACAAGCCAUGGAAACAUUACCCUCAGAGAAACUCUUCGCGAAAUUUUCUAAAUGCGAGUUUUGGAAUUGAAGAGUCAAAUUCCUCAGACACACUAUUAGUGAUGUGGAAAUUCUUGAGUACUCUGUUAAUUUAUCCAAACCGUUGAGAAAUCGUCGACACCGAAGACGCUUACGAAAUUCGCUAAAUUUGAGGUCUCACCGACUUGGACCCCGCAGUCCAUUCAGAACUCCUCGUGAAUUACAGAAACCCUUACGACUUUGACCCCGCAGUGGGGUGGCCCUUAACUGGGAAUAUAAGCAAGAAAAAGAAGCCUUGGAAUUCCAAGUGAGAGACCAAAUUCUUUAGGAAGUCUCACUCUGGGAAUGGCUUGGUACGCUUUAGAAUGCGGGGAGAGCUAAAUCCAAGAUAGUUAGCACCUUCGAGAUUCUUACCAAAAUUGGUCCAGUAUCUCACAAACUAAACCUACUCCGUGAGCUUAGUAACAUAAAUUCUACCCUUCACGUCUCAAACUUGUAAAAAGUAUCGAUCCGACAAAACUCUUGAAAUCCCACUUAAAGAGAUCGAGUCCCACAAGAGCCUCACCUACGUGCAAGAACCAUAGUGACCAUGGACCGAGAGGUCAUGAGAACAAUUAUUAGUCGUUUCCCUUUAGUGAAGGUCUGCUGGGAUGCCAACCAAGGACCCGAAUUCACUUGGGAGCACGAGAAUCAAUCAUUUAGGAAAUAUCCCCACUUCCUGGUUUGAUUAUUCAUGCCUACUUCCUUACCUAAAUUCUAAUUUCAGGGAGAAAUUCCUUCUAAUGGGGGGAUGAUGUGAAAACCCAAAAUUUCUAUUCUGUACCACCAUUCAAUUCAAUUGAAGUCAGAAAAUUUGCUGCUAAGUUUCAAACUUUUUGGAACAAGUUUGAGAAUUUUAGGAUUUACACUUCGGGUGAUAUCAGGAGAGAGGAUGCCCUAGGGUUUAUCGUGCAACACUGUUAUUCAAAAACUCCAAGAAAUUAGAGUUUACUGCCUGAAUAAAAUAUUUACAGCCAAAAACCCUAAAUCUGGGAGUAUAUAUAUGACAAUUAGUCAUUAUUUACACUUUUUCCAAAUCUCAAGAUCCAAAUCCAAUUUCUCUCUCAAGUAUCAUCCAAAAGUUCUUCAAGUUCUUCAAUCUAGUAAGUGUUUCUAGCUUUCUUAAGUUGUUAUAUGACUUAAUCUAGUUUUUUUAACACACUUCUAACCGUGAAAUCAUUCCAAAAGGUUGAUUCUUCAAUUUACAGCAAGAACACCAAGAACACACACUAGUGUUCUUGGACUUUUAGCUCAUUUCAAGCUUCAAUAUAGUAAGUACUUCUAUCCUAGAGUCCUAUAAAGCUUGUUACAUUACCUUACAUCAAGAAAUCAUCCCAAGAACACCAAGAUCAAGGUGUUUAUGGUCCAAGAAUAUUCUUGGACCGUAAACCCCAAAUAAAUGUGCCAAAGUGUGCUCAAGUCUUUCACAAGCCUUAGCAAAAUGUCUAAGUCCUUUCCUUGUUGAGAAAAGGACUUGAAAAUGUCAAAAUACCAUAAAUCAAAUGUGUUUACGGACGUAAACACAUUGAAUGGUGGUCCAUGGGCCGUAAGCUACAUAUAAGAGUGUUUUGAUGCCACAAACACUUACAUAGGCUUAUACUUCAAUAUAGAAAUGUUUCUAAGGCUUCAAAACUCAAAGUGGUCAAAGAAGUGUGAGUUUACGGCCAUAAACUCAUGAGUUUAGACCAUAAACUCAAUGGUUUAUGGUAUUUAGGGAGUAAAGUCAUAUUAGGGGUUCCCUUGAACCCUAUGCUCAUUAGCUUUGUCCUACAACACUUAGAUGAAAUCCUUAGCACUUAUAACACUUAUAUAAAGUGUUUAUCAUGUCUUAGGAUUUCUUAUCUUUGUUAUUUAAUUGUUUAAAGGCUAAUUGGUUACGUAUAUGUUAUAUUAUAUAUUAACUAGGAUCAUAUAGUGUGUACAAGUCUUCACUUGACAUCUAGCAUCCUACACAGUCCGUUCAAUCCCAACGACUUUCUACAGGUGAGUUGAUACCCCUUAAUCAGUGGUUUAUAUGUUUUUAAAUGCUUUUAUAGGGGGGAUACAACUUGAAUCAUGCUAGUUAUUAUUUCAAUCACAUGUGAUUAAUAAGUAGCUUACAAAAGGAUUUACUACACUUUUAGCUGUUUUACUAGACAGAGUACUUCAGAUGGCUUUCCAAAGUGUUUUUACUUGUUUAAAACUCUUUAUCAAAUUGUCUUACAUACUGAAGGUUUCUUUUCAAACUCUAUUAAAAUUGUGUUUCAAAACAAAGGUCUCCUUAUACUUUAUAAUGUUCUCAUCAAAGAAACUGUUUUCAGAUCGUUUUACACACUGAGGUCAAGUCAUCUUUUCCUAGUUAUAAAACUUUUCAAAGGUUUCACAAACUUCUUUUAUACUUUUAUAUUGUCAAUUGCAUGCCUAUAUAUGUAUAGUUAUAUAAGUAAUGUUUAAAGGACUUAGGAAGACUAGCUCACCUUACCUCCUUUUCCUUGUUGGGAUGUGGCUUUAGGGCAUCGAUUAUCCGUCCGAAAGUCGUCUAAAUAUUAGUUGUGUAUUAUGUAUACAUAUAUAGACAUAAAAGUUCUAUCAGUUAAUUCAAUACCCUUGGGUAGCAGGGGUAUAAUUUCCUAUUCAUACGUACCAGUUACAUUACUAGUAAGCUACCAUAUGGGUAGCUUAGGAUGAUACUAAUACUAUUACUAAAACAUGGAAUCAUACCACAAGUCAGUUCAUUCAUGAGUCAAUACAUGCUAGAUAAGAGAGAGCACACUUUACAGCUAGCACACACAGUACAUUACUAUACAGGCUAGAUAGAGAGAGAACACACAUUACAGCUAGUACACGUAGAACAUUACGGUACAUUACUCUACAUGCUAGAUAGAGAGAGAACACACUUUACAGCUAACACACACAUAACAUUACAGUACAUUACUAUACUUGCUAGAUAGAGAGAGAACACACUUUACAGCUAGCACAUUCAUUACAUAUACAUUCACGCAGAUAUGUGAGCCAUUAAACGGGUCCUGGCACUUCCUGCCAUGACCGUUUUUUUAUCCAAAAUCUCCUUAAUUGGGGAGCAUAUGAGUUUGCGUAUAGAUCUAUACUAGAUUGACUAUCCUACACCUUGUUGCUCGCUACAGUGGGACUUGCAAGUCUACGGGUGCAAAAUGUCAUUUCUUACAGCGUCUUACAUCGUCGUUUUACUAGAGUCGGUAGCAGGAUACAGGUCGAUCACAUGUUACUUUAAAUUACAAUAGAUUUACGGUAGUUAGUACGGUUGUGGUUAUUUGAUACUACAUAAUACUAUUUCAUUUUCCCAUUACAUUCAAUUUGUGAACAUUCACACGAUGCACAGUAAUGUGGAAGCUAUAUUUUUGGUUAAUGAUACGCAGAUUUGGGAAAAUACACACUCUUACAAGAGACACACACAGAUACUAGAUGCCUUGGUAGAAGGAUACUUUUAGUAGGAAACAUAGGCUUUUCUAGGAAUUUCAAAACUUUUACAUACUUAUAUUUCAUAUACAUACAAAUACUUUCAUACAAAUUCAGACACUAAAAUACUUAUGAUCUCACCAACUUUAAAGUUGAUACUCUCUUUCAAAAUAACUUGUAUCCUCAGGUCAACAAUAGUCAGGUACUGAUGCAAGGUUUUGAGAAGAUGGAGCUCGUUCAAGACUCAUCUUUCAUUUUGAUUUAUACUUUAGUGUAUGUUAUAAUUUGACAGAACACACUUGUAUUAAAAUUAUAUUAUUAAUGCAAUGGAUGAUGUUGUUGCUUGUUUACUACUAUUCAUUGUUGUGAUACUGUACAUGACGUCCUCCGCUCCAGAACGUUUCCGCCGUUCAUGGUUUUGGGGUGUGACACGUACCUACCUAUGAUUGGUGUUGUGGUACAAUGCUCGCAUACCCAUGUUAACUGAAGGUACAAUACCCUGCCCGGGUACCCAGUUGUAUACGUAUGGUACAUUGAAAGAUGUACCUUUUUAAGUUCCUUAUAUUUAGUUCAUAUUAUUGUUCGUACUUUCUGAAUAGAUAACUAACGAGUAUUAUAUCUCUAUGUACAACUAUGACUUUUAUGAACUACCAAGUGAAAACUAUUGAUCUACCAAGAAAUGAGCAUUGACUCUCUCACUAUACUCCUUAUAGUUUACUAGUAAGUUCUUUGUAUCUGAAUGACUGAAUUGAAUUGAAAGAAUACCAUCGCUACCCAAGGUAUAAAACUGACUUCUAGAACUUUUAUAUCUACAUACAUAUACAUGAUAUAUAAUUAAUAUUUAAAUGACAUUCAGACAAACAACCUUACUCCAAACCCACAUCUAAACAUGGAAAAUGGAUUAGCGCUGGUAGUCAGUCUUAAGUUCUUUAAACACUGCUUGUAUAACUAUAUCCAUAUAGAUAUCAAUUAUUCACAAUAUAAGUUAAAAGAUUUUAUAAAACAUUUUAAAGCAUUUUCUAAUAUUAAAAGAGUUUAACAACCACUUAAAAGCAUUUUCCAAUAUUUAGAAGAUUUUAUUUAUAUUUAAAAGCAUUUUGAUGACUUGAUAUCAUUUACAACAUUUGAAGAGUUUUAUUUAUUACAAACACAAUUUCUUGUGUUUAUACUUCUAUUCGCCCCCCCCCCUUAAAACAGUGAAAAGUGACAAAAUGUGGGGGUGUAAACUCACCGUAUGUUUGGUGAUCCAAAUGGUUCAAGUAAGGAUGAGAAUUUCCACGAAUGAAGUCCCGAUACACAAAUGAGUCCUAUUGACAUAUAUUGACACAUAUACGUGUAUAAUUAGUUUAUAAUACAAAUAAUCAUGAAGGAAACAACCUAAUGGACUAAGGAACUUGGAUAUGAAGAGAUCAAUCACAUGUGAUUGAUUAAUGGGAAGUGUGUGGCCACACUUAAGUGUGUUUACCGCCAACAUACAUGAGUUUACGGCCAAGCAAGGAGUUUACGGCCGUAAGCUCAUGGACAUAAUGCACAAGUGAGUGAUUUAAGGUCCUAUCAACAUCCAUUAAGGGUUCAAGGUCAAGGGCUUUCUUGUUGGGAGAGUUUAAGGUCCAAACAUGAAUCAACAUGGAGUUUACGGCCAAUGAAGAUCUUGGGCCGUAAACUCAUGUUCUUCAUGGGAAAUGCAUGUUUCAAGGGUGUGAUUCAAAUCUUCCUAGUAGAUAUGAAGUAUAAUGAAGAGUACUUACGAUAUAGAAGCUUGAAAUGGUUGAUUUUGGCCAAGAACACUAGUGUGUGUUCUUGGUGCUCUUGGUGUUUCUUGAAGAUCUAAGCAGACAUGAUUUUCAUGGAUGAAAUCAAUGAAUGAAGCUAGUUAAGAAGGUGUAUCAACUAAUCAAGGGUUAGAACACUUACACUUUUGAAUAUGUAAGAUGAAAGUUGGAUGAUACUUGAGUGGAUUUGAAGAAAUCUCAGCCAAGUAAAGGAAAGAAUGAGAAAAAUGGCUAAGGCUUACAUAUAUAGAGAUGAGUUUACGGCCCACUGGGAGUUUCCGGACGUAAACUAUAAUGUGGUGGCCGUGAACUCAUGUUGGUGGUGUUUUAGGCUUAAUUAUUGUUCAGUGGUUCUAGCAAGUACUUCCUAGCACUCAUUCCUUGAGUGUAUUGGGCUCGGAACACUUAAACAGACUCUAAACAAUGCCAACUCUUAGCAGGAGUAAGUCCAACUUAAGGUUGAUUGGACUAUCCUUUAAAGCAAAAAAUUUCAGGUUGUCACAUCAUCCCCCUGUUAAAGGGAAUUUCGUCCCGAAAUUCAGAUUCGAAAGUGAAUACUCAUGAAUUAUGGGGAGGACAAGUACUUCUGUUCCAUCUGCAUCACUUUUCUUGAUCGGCGGGAAGGUCUUAGUUUGGCUUCUAAGUUUAGUCGCAUGGCAGCAUGAUCACUCGUUGUUUUGAGCAGUCUCCAUCCUGAAGUUCAUAAUAGAACUCAUACUAGGUUCAUCAAUCGCAACCUCGUGUAUACGAGCCGUAUAUAAUUAAGAUUGAAAAAGUAGUCGAAUAAAUGAUUCUUCUCUAAGGUCACAUCCAAACAAGGAAAAGAAGUGAAAGUGAAAUCAUCAAUUCUAAGCUUGUAGAACCUUGACUAUACACCACCCUUGUGUACAUAUUCUUUUGCAAUAGAUCAACCAUAUAGGUCCUUGGUAUUAAACUUGACGCACUGUACAAGUGGUCUUAUGGAGAGGUUUGUUGAGGUUACUUCAGGAAAGUUACGAAACAUAAGGUACUCUCCGAAUGAGUACCUCAGAGUUCGGGUGUAAUAGGCCGGAUUCCCAGGUAUUAUUCAUUUAUUUAUUUUUAGUAAAUUAUGAGAAGACUCAGCGAGUUGGAGCCUAGACUCGCCGAGUAGGAUCGCGGAUUUGGACGCGGGUUCGCGUCCAGACUCGACGAGUACAAGAGUGGACUCGGCGAGUCCACGCUGUUUAAUGAAACCCUAAUUUCCCGGACCUAAGCCCUAUUUAAAGGGCCUUAUAACCCUUCAUUGCGGCUACCUUCGACCUUGAGAGCACCAGAGCACCUGUGAGUCCUUGUGAGUGAGAAAAGAGGCCAUUAUUCUUCAUCUUUGUGUGUGUUAGCAAGAAAGGAAGAGGAAGGCCAAACUAGGAGGGUUGGCGAGCUUGGAUCUACUUCCAUUUUGGCAGAGGAAGCUAUUUGAGGUAUUAUUCAGAGCUAAUUCUCAUGUUUUUAUGUAUAUGGUCAAAUCUAGGGUUUCUUCAUGCCUUGUAUGCCUUGUAAUUUGAGUAUGAGAGGUCUCUUUGGGAAUUGGUACCUAGAUCUGGAUCUUAGUAGUUCCAGAGAGUCCCAAAUGCCCUGCUUUAUGCCUAUCCUUUUGAGUUGGGGACUUAGGUUACCAUUUUAGAUGUCAUUUCACCAAAAGAAGCCUUGUAAGCGUUCCAUGGUAGCCAAGAUUGUAACUUUACGUGAUAAAUGUGCUUGGAAGGACUGGAUCUAUGAGUUACUGGAACGGAUCUGACCUCAGGAGUGAGUUUGAGUUCAUGCAUGGCUUAGAGUCGCCGAGUCCGAAGAACAGACUCGGCGAAUAGCUUGAAGAUUGCCUUUAACCACUCAGCGAGUGGUCUUACCGAGUUAUGGGUUGACUCAGUGAGUCAGGGAGAGUGAGAGAGGGUUGACAGGUGGACUGAGUCAAGCUGGAACUCGCCGAGUUGUUCUUGAGACUCGGCGAGUUGAGUCGUGGUGGCCCCGCGAUUCAUGCCAGGUGGAACUCGUCGAGUCAGGGAAGUACUCGACGUGUCAAGAGAGGAUCCUAGGGAGUCAGUGAACACGUAUAGACUCGCCGAGUCGCUCUAGUGCACUCGCCGAGUCCGGUCAAAGUUGACCGUUGACCGUUGACCAGAGUUGACCAGUGUUGACUUGAUAGGGGUAGUCAACCUUAGUUGUGAAAGUGUUAAUUAGAGAUAUAUUGUGUUAUAGGAGGAUUAUAGAUCGGAGGAUCGAGCGCGAGUGAUUUCCGGGAUUUGCGAGUUAUCGAGAUACGCGAGGUGAGUCUUCUCACUAUACUUUACCUUGAGUAGGUAAUCAGAGUUAUGUGACAGAGUAUUUGUAUGCUAUAUGUAUGUUAUGUGUUGUACUGCAUUAUUUCUAUGUGAUUUAUGCUGUGCAUGUUUAUAGAGUUGGAACCGGAAGGUUCCCAGAGUUAGAACCAGUGGGUUCACAGAGUAGGGUCUACGGACCCACAGAGUUAUAGCCUCGAGUGGCUAAUAUGUGUUAUGUGUGGUAUUUUGGGGAACUCACUAAGCUUUGUGCUUACAGUGUUGGUGUUUAUUGUUUCAGGUACUAGUGAUGACCGUGGGAAGGCGCCGGCUUGAUCAGUACACACACAUGGGAUUUUUAUGAUAUGUGAUCUUGGGAUUUAUUGUAUGACAUUGAUUGGAGUUUCAAACACUGAUGUUUUAUGAAAAAUUAAAUGAAUAUGUUUUUAUAUUAUGAGAAAAAUUAUUUUGAAAUUUACGGUGUUACAAGUUGGUAUCAUAGCCUUGGUUUGAGGGAUUCGAGUACACCCUCGGGCGUAUUUGAACUCAAACUAAGGAUUUGAGAAGUAUUUUCAAAAAGAAUAAAAGAUUUUUUUUGAAGAACGUAGAGCAGAGUUGUGUGUACAAUCAGUCCGCGCCCGAAUGGUGAUUUCCCUAAAAUACACUCAUGUAAUGUCAUAUUGAUAUUGAUAUGAUGUAUUCUCAUGCUAGAGUAGGCUAGGUACUGCUAUUAGGACUAGAGUGGCCUGAUUUAUGAUGCCUUAGCCUAGGGAGAGGUGAGCUGCUAUGAGAUGCUUGAGAGUGAGUAGGUAGCAGCGAGGGGCUUAUGAGAGAUCUGUUAGAGAAUGGAUUAUGCAUGUUAGAGUACUUGGAAUUUUGGGAUCCGAAGAGGAGGACUUGGGGUGUAUUCUGAUACGGUGCGGACAGUAGUAUUGGGCCCGUACUACUGAAAGCACCGGAGCGGUGUACAGCCCAAGUAGGAAUCUUUGGAAUACCAAGGAUCAAGGAGGGAAGAGUUGUCGAGUGUGAGUAUGCUCGAAUGGAUUCUAAUUUAUCGUAUGUUGUAUUUCAGAGGUAGAUCAUGGUGAGGACACGUCUGAUGCCUGAGAGCAGUGAGACCAGUGAUGAGGAGAUCCGCCGGAUCAUCCAUGAGGAGGUGGCUGCGGCCAUCAGGGCAGAGAUACCAGAGAUGUUCGGGUCUAUUAAGACCACGUUGAUUGAGACCUUUGACGAGCGUUAUGCCGCUCUUUCUGAGGCUGCUGUUGCAGCGGCCACCGCAGCUAUUGCUGCCGCGAGGCCGCAAGGUGGUGAUGCGUUGCUGUUCCGGGAGUUCAGCAACACAAAACCACCAGAGUUUGAUGGGACCCAGGACCCGGUGGCGGCUAUGAGAUGGAUUUCUGACAUAGAGGGGUGUUUCUUCACUUGCUCAUCUCCUGAGCAUUUGAAGGUUCGGUUCGCGCUGAACCAGCUUCGCUUGGGAGCGAAGGACUGGUGGAAGUUUGUGACGGCGCACUUUACGCCUGCUGAGCUUGCUGCAGUGACCUGGGAGAGGUUCACUUCCAUGUUCCAAGAUGAGUACGUUCCCUAGGUGGAGAGGGAGCGUUUGGCCCAGGAGUUUCUGACCCUCAAGCAGGGUACUGAGUCUGUUACGGUGAUUACAAGGAUGUUCCAUGAGAGGGCGAUGUUCUGCCCUGAGCACGUGUCCACGGAGCAGGCAUGUAUGAGCCGAUAUUUGAGUAUCUUGAGGCAAGGCAUUCAGGAGAUCGCAGCAAAAUCCUCGUACCGGACAUUUGUCGAGCUUCAGGAAAAUGCCCGAAAGAGGGAGAUCGAUCUAGAGACUCAGGCCAGGGAGGAGGCGGAGUCUCAGGGGAGGGAUCGGCGACCGGCAUAGUCUCAGCCGGCAGCCAAGCGGGNNNNNNNNNNNNNNNNNNNNNNNNNNNNNNNNNNNNNNNNNNNNNNNNNNNNNNNNNNNNNNNNNNNNNNNNNNNNNNNNNNNNNNNNNNNNNNNNNNNNNNNNNNNNNNNNNNNNNNNNNNNNNNNNNNNNNNNNNNNNNNNNNNNNNNNNNNNNNNNNNNNNNNNNNNNNNNNNNNNNNNNNNNNNNNNNNNNNNNNNNNNNNNNNNNNNNNNNNNNNNNNNNNNNNNNNNNCCAUCAGAGCCCGAGAGUCGGCCAAUAAAGGCCGAGGCGCCGAGAGCACGAGGGAGAGCUUUUCAGCUAACCGCGGAGGAGGUCCGUGCAGCACCCGAUGUCGUGGCUGGUAUGUAUUCUUUCAUGUAUUUAUUUUGAUGUUAUGAUAUUAUGCUUAUAUUAUGUUAUGCGUAGGUACUUUUCUUGUGAAUUCUGUAUCGGUGUUAUUUGACUCGGGUGCGAGUCGGUCUUUUGUAUCUUUGGCUUUUAGUCAGCAUAUCAGUGUUAGUUGUGAGGCUUGAGUCGGCCUCUGAGAGUUUCCAUAGCUGACGAGAGGGUGAUAUAUGCCACGGAGGUUCUCCGAGGGUGCGUAGUCGAGAUUUUCGGUGUUGAGUUCCCGAUUGAUCUAGUUCCUAUUGCAGUGGGCGAUGUCUGUGUCAUUGUGGGCAUGGACUGGUUGAGCAGAUUCGGUGCGGUUAUCGACUGCGAGCGAUAGCUGGUGACCAUACGAGACCCUAGUGGGGGACUUCUUACGGUGUAAGGCGAGGGUACACGUUCGGGAUCAGCUUUUUGUUCGGCCACUAGGGCAAGGCAGUGUCUACAGUAGGGUUGUAAGGGUUUUGUGGCGUAUGUGAUGGAUACACGGGUGGAUUCCGAGAGACGGAGGUCUGUUGAGGAGGUUCCGGUAGUGAGUGAGUUCCCUGAUGUAUUUCCUAAGGAGUUGUCGGGUGUGCCUCCUGUGAGGCAAGUGGAGUUCAGUACCGAUUUGGUUCCGGGGGCCGCGCCUAUCGCUAAGGUGCCUUAUCGUCUUGCACCUCCAGAGAUGCAAGAGUUAUCCUCGCAGCUUCAGGAGCUGCUGGGGAAGGGGUUUAUUCGGCCGAGCAGCUCGCCGUGGGGAGCGCCUAUCCUGUUCGUCAAGAAGAAGGAUGGUUCACACCGGAUGUGCAUUGAUUACCGGGAGUUGAACAAGCUGACGGUCAAGAACCGUUACCCGUUGCCGAGGAUCGACGAUUUGUUCGAUCAGUUGCAGGGAGCGUCUUGGUUCUCCAAGAUCGAUUUGAGGUCUGGAUAUCAUCAGGUGAGGGUGCGAGAUGAGGACGUCCAGAAGACAGCGUUCAGGACGCGUUAUGCGCAUUACGAGUUUGUGGUGAUGCCUUUUGGGUUCACCAAUGCCCCGGCAGUGUUCAUGGAUCUCAUGAACCGAGUGUGCAGGCCGAUGUUGGAUCGGUCGGUGAUCGUAUUUAUCGACGACAUUCUGGUAUAUUCGAGAUCUAGGGCGCAGCAUGAGGAGCAUUUGAGAGAGGUUCUCGGAGUUCUGAGAUCGGAGAGGCUUUAUGCCAAAUUCUCCAAGUCUGAUUUCUGGUUGCAGGAGGUCUAGUUCUUAGGACAUCUCGUUAACCAGAAAGGGAUAUUAGUCGACCCGAUCAAAGUUGAGGCGGUGAUGAGUUGGGAGGUGCCGAGGUCACCCUCCGAGAUUAGGAGUUUCCUAGGGUUGGCGGUGUAUUAUUGGAGAUUUAUCAAGGAUUUCUCUAAAAUCGCAGUGCCACUCACCAGGUUGACCCGGAAGGGUGUUGCUUUUUCAUGGGGCCCCGAGCAGCAGGCCUCCUUUGAGACACUUCGCCAAAGGUUAUGCGAAGCCCCGGUGUUAGCCCUCCCGGAAGGGAUGGAGGACUUUGUGGUAUACUGUGACGCAUCGAUUUUGGGGUUGGGGGCGGUGCUGAUGCAGAGAGGGCAUGUGAUAGCAUAUGCAUCGAGGCAGCUGAAGCCUCAUGAGAUGAGAUAUCCCACCCAUGAUCUAGAGUUGGGGGCAGUGGUGUUNNNNNNNNNNNNNNNNNNNNNNNNNNNNNNNNNNNNNNNNNNNNNNNNNNNNNNNNNNNNNNNNNNNNNNNNNNNNNNNNNNNNNNNNNNNNNNNNNNNNNNNNNNNNNNNNNNNNNNNNNNNNNNNNNNNNNNNNNNNNNNNNNNNNNNNNNUAACACACACUUACACACUCACUUUUACAUCUCUCAAGCACACCUCUACAAGUGGUAUGAACCCACUAUUUAUAGAGGUGUUUACAUGUCUCUCUCUCACUCUAACAAACAAAUGGGUCUAAAGGCUAAAGCACCACAUGCAAGUGGGUUUUACAAAAGUCAAACAUUUACAAAGUCAUGAAUGAAUAACUUUGCACCCCAACAUUCUCCCCCUCAAAGUUAGGAAUGAAUGACCCGCUUCAAAUCUUCCAAAAUCAAGCACUACGCGGUUCGACCCUCAAAGGUGACACAUAUCGAAACGAACUUCAAUCUUUAAUUCGUCCAUGACUCUUCAAUUUGGGCUCUAGGAUGUGAGACCAUACAAACCGAGCAGCAACGAAUGAUCAAGAGUAUUCCAAACUCCAAAUAAUUACCCUAAAGUUGCACAUAAAAACACACCCCAAAAAUCUUCAAUAAUUCCAAACCCAUUUCGAAUACAUCACUUCUGAACUUCCAAUUUCAUCAUCUCGUGGCUUCAAAACUUCAAGAUCACUUCAGUCUUCAAAUCCGCGUAAUAUGAAAAAUUCAAGUUCGAAUUUCCAUAUAAAACUUCUCCCCCUUUUUAUAAUCGAAAUUUGAUUAUAAAACUACAAGGAAAAAGAACGUGCUUUAUUCGGAAUUUUUCAUGUCAAAACUCCCCCUUAACAUGUGGCAUAAACUUUGUGCUUCAAUCCGAAAAAUCCAAAAAAUAAUGAAUUUUUAGCUUCGUUCACGGAUCGCUUUGACAAAAUUUCUCAAAAAUAGGUAAAAAUUGUCAAUUUCAAAAUUUUGCAGUGACCCGUUGCAUUAAAAACAGCCAAAUAUGCGAAGCACACUCCCAUUUGCGAAACUGGGUAGAAUGUGUAAAUUCGCACAAACUGCAAGGACCAGAUUUGAAAAUUCUGCAAUUUCAUCAUUUUAUGACCCCAUUUGCGAAGUUGGACCAAUUGUGUAAUUUCGUGAAAAGAGCAGGGAGCAAAUGCGAAACUCUUGGCUUUCUUCCCCAAUUUGCAUUUACUGUAAAAGACUUCGCAUGCUUCGCACAUUUUUCAUUUUAUUAGCAUUUUGACUCCAAAAUUGAACAAACCAUCAAAUGCGAACUCCAUUUAUACAAAUGCGAAUCUGAGUUUGAUUCACACAAAUGCGAAUAUAGUUUGGCUUCGCAUCAACAAAUCAACUGUAUCACCAAAUGUGAAAUCCAAUCCAUAAAUGCGAACUCAAAAUAUACGAACUACCCAGAUGCGAACUCAAAAUUACCAAAUUCAAACUCCAUUCACACAAAUGCGAAUUGAACAAAUAUUUCAGAUGCGAACCCAAACAAGAUCAAAUGCGAAUCCAAUGAAGAUCCAGAUGCGAACUUUAUUGAGAUACUUUCGCAAAAUCAGCGACAACAACUCCAAAAUCUUUCCAAAUCACAGUAAACAUAAUCUCAAUUCGAUUCUAUCGACUCCAACAUUUGCGAAUUCGUAACUCCAAAAUCCAGAUUCAAGCAUUCUCAGUUGAUUUCAUCAUCCUUCCCAAGUUCGUGUGACAACCCGAUAUUUCAACUCUUUGUAAUGACCAAAAAGGGUCAACUUUUUGUAACCACUUUUUAGUAAUAAAAUUUACUUUCAUAAUAAAAUGUACAAAAAGUUCUAUUUAAUUUCCUUCUAUGUUUAAAUGUCUUUGAACCAUGAUCGUACGUGAAAAGAACGCCCAAAUCCGACUUCAUAUAGCGAAGUUAUGAUUUUUCCAAGUUCGGCUUAGCAACAGACAGCUAAAAACUCUUAUCGGAGAUCGAGCGACUUUUGGCCGGAAUGACCUAAACGAGAAUCGAAGGUCUCGACAAUGGUAUUCCAGCGGUAAAAAGUCUGGCAAAAACCGACAUCAGAUAAAGAAGUUAUGAAUUUUCAAAGAAAUUCCUUAAACACGAUGGGUUUAAAAAAAAUAAUAAAAAAAUAAUUUCGGAAUUUGCCGACGGAGUCUAAACGAAAGUUGUAGAGCGUAGUCUCACCUACGCGUGGAUAUAAAGACCAUCGAAAACGGAGUUCGUAUGAAGAAGAUAUGAAUUUUUGAAGUUUAUUAAAUAAAUUAUAUAUUUAUUUAAUUCAAAAUUUCGGACCUUAUCCGAAGAGGAGUCAGCGUCCUCAUCCGGGUACGCGCUGCGUACCCCUGUACGCCCUGCGUACCCGAGAGACUUGGCCUCUGAUCGUCCACGUCGCCCUAUCCGAGGCAUCCGACCCGUCCGACCCGUCCGAAGCAUCCGACCCGUCCGACCCGUUGUCCCAUCCGACCCGCCGUCCCAUCCGACCCGCCUCCCCACCGACCCNNNNNNNNNNNNNNNNNNNNNNNNNNNNNNNNNNNNNNNNNNNNNNNNNNNNNNNNNNNNNNNNNNNNNNNNNNNNNNNNNNNNNNNNNNNNNNNNNNNNNNNNNNNNNNNNNNNNNNNNNNNNNNNNNNNNNNNNNNNNNNNNNNNNNNNNNNNNNNNNNNNNNNNNNNNNNNNNNNNNNNNNNNNNNNNNNNNNNNNNNNNNNNUCCGACCCGCCGUCCCAUCCGACCCGCGUACCCAGCAACCCGUCCCAUCCGAACCGAGGCAGUCGAGGCUUCGGUCAUGCAUGACGUACGCGUACGCGCUGCGUACGAGCGUACGCCCCGCGUUCGGAGGCGGUUCAGCCUUCCUAUAAAUAGGAUGCGAGGCUUUCCGAAAAUGUGGCUCACUUCUCUCUUUUCUCUCACGAUCUUGCCUCGAUUUCCUUGCCCGUUAAAACCUGAAGCUCUGGUCUUUUUGCUCAAGUCCCGAGGGUCGAUUUUACUCCCGAGAUUCCUGAGAAUCCCGAGAAAAAUCCGUUUUCCGAGACGAAACUCUGCCCGGUUUUCCAUCUCGCUUUCUUCAAUCAAUCAAGUGAGUUUCAUACCCCUUAAUCAACCUGUUAAAUAUUCUAAAUGCUUUUAUAUGCUUUCAAAAGGGGGGAAUACAAGUUAAAUACUUAUAGUUAUUGUUUCAAUCACAUGUGAUUGUACUAAUCACAUGUGAUUAAUAACUAGGGAAAUCAGUGGUUUUAUCACUAUUCAAACUAUCUAUCAAACUGUUUUACUUCUAAAUGUUUUCCAAACCCAUUUACUUUUCGAAUUUACACUGCAACUGUGAUUUAAGCAAAUGUUCCUUAUACUUAAACUGUUUUAAUCAAAUCUACACCUUCAAAUGGUUUUAUAGAUUGACAUCAAGUCAAUCUUUCUUUAAAAAUAAUACUUAUGUUUCAAAUGCCUUAUAAAUACUUAUUUAUGCUUUUAUAUUACAAAUUGCAUGCCCAUAUAUGUAUAGACGUAUAAAUAAUGUUUAAAGGACUUAGGAAGGCUAUCCACCUUGUUUCCUUUUCCUCGAUUUGGAUGUGGUCUGAUAGGAUUUUGGGUGACCAUCCGAAGGUCGUUUCCAUAUUAAUUAUAUAUCAAAUAUACAUAUAUAGACAUGAAAGUACUUCCAUAAUCAUAUGUACUAAACGCACUGUUAACAAGUUACCAUCGGGGUAACACAGAAUCAUACUAUUACAACUGCUAGAUCAAUGAGUCAGUUCAUUCAUGAGUCUAUACUAGGAAGAGAAUAUAUACAACUAUACUACGAGAACAUAUACAACUAUACUAGAACAAGAAACAUUUCAUCACACAUGCAAGAAUACGAUAACAAAUGUGAUCCACUGUAUCGGAGCAUGCCUUAAAUGUCAUGGCCCGAGUUGUAGCCAGAAUUCUCUUGGAGGGAGAGCGUUGAGUUUGCGUAUAGAUCUAUACUGGAUUGACUAUCCUACACCUUGCUGCUAGCUACAGCCGGACCUGCAGGUCUGCGGGUGCCAAACGUCAUUCCGUUAUUACGACCGUUCUUUAUGUCGUUGUUACCAGUCGAUAGCAUGGUGCAAUUUAUCACAUUAUACCUUAAUAUAAAUCCGGUUUAAGGUAGUAGUAUUUAGUACAGCAGUAGUCUUAUUAUACCAAGCUACAGUGCUACAAUGAUUUACCCAUUACAUAUUUUAGUGAUAACCUCACUUAAAUAUUAAUGUACAAACUAUAUUUUAACAAAUGAUAGUUAUACUUGGGUAAUUACACACUUUUACAACAGACGAGUUUACAAAACAGUUAAGCCUUGGUAGAAGGCUACUUUUAUAGAAAAUAUAGGAUUUUCUGAGAGAUUCAAACUUUUA
rnacentral:lncRNA from 1 species